UAGGGAAUCUUCGGCAAUGGGGGGAACCCUGACCGAGCAACGCCGCGUGAGUGAAGAAGGUUUUCGGAUCGUAAAGCUCUGUUGUUAAGGAAGAACGAGUGUGAGAAUGGAAAGUUCAUGCUGUGCCGGUACUUAACCAGAAAGGGAUGGCUAACUACGUGCCAGCAGCCGCGGUAAUACGUACGUCCCGAGCGUUGUCCGGAUUUAUUGGGCGUAAAGCGAGCGCAGGCGGUUAGAAAAGUCUGAAGUGAAAGGCAGUGGCUCAACCAGAGUAGGUUUUGGAAACUGUUUAAAUGGAGUGCAAAAGGGGAGAGUGGAAUUCCAUGUGUAGCGGUGAAAUGCGUAGAUAUAUGGAGGAACACCGGUGGCGAAAGCGGCUCUCUGGACUGUAAAUGACGCUGAGGCUCGAAAGCGUGGGGAGCGAACAGG
rnacentral:rRNA from 1 species